rnacentral:lncRNA from 1 species
AUGCUGUUCCUUCUUCUGGGAAUGCAGCUCCUCCUCCUGGCCUGUCCUUUGUCCUGCCUUCCCCUAACACAUGCAGCGCUCAAAGCUUUCUUGGAGACUCAGCUUGAACAACAUCUUUUCAGUGAUGUGAACCUGCUCUUCCUGAUUGAAGGUACCAGCGUGCUCCUGAGCGGCUGUGAGCGACGUCGGCUCCCGACGAGGAGGGGCUGUGACUCAGCGCUGCAACUGCCAGAGCUGCGCCGAGAGCUAAGCCGAGCGGACGGGAGGUGCGUCUCCCCGCAAAACCCCGCGUCAAAAAACGCCUACCAAAUGCUUUCUCGUUUGGACCCAGACUCCAGUUCCGGAGGUGAGCGCGUUGUACUAAUUUGGUGGGGCAGGGGGAAGGAUAGUGACCUUGGGUGGGCUCUUAAGCACGUGGAAAGGAGACUCCCCAAGAUAGGAUUGAUUAUGCGUUAGGGGUUUUCUGCCCCCCAAGAGGCACUUCUGUGCCUGGACCGUAUACCGGUGACUAGGUUGUCCUCGGAAUGAGGUCUUUGAGAUUUGGGAACCCAGGGGGGUAGAGAAGUGCGUGUUUCUGCAAUUUUCUUGAAUCGUUAAAAGAAUUGCAAUCACAAGGAUUGUUCUGUCAGAUGCCUUGGUUUGCGUACGUUUCAUAGCUCAUGUGGUUUGUUUGCCGAAGCAAGUUUUAUUUUUCAAGCUGCUCGUCUUGCUCGUUUAAAGCAGAGAGGGAGAAAAAACAGUUGUUAUAGUACGUUAUUUCUCUACCAGAAUAACUUACUCAUUUUUUUUCCCCCUCAGCAGUCUGGUAGCCGGAUCCCCUAGGAGGAGAAGUAGUAAAGCGGUAAGAAGAAAGCAUUUCAGUUUGGAA